CUGUUAAAGAAAGGAUAUUAUUUACCUAGAAAAAAGUGGGCUUGUCAAUCACUAUAUAACCAUUCGUGGGGUGAAUGUCUUUAUUUUAGGCCUCUGGCUGAUGGAUCCAAGAGGUAGAUACGUGAUGUCAAAAUAUUCUCUUUUAUAGGUAAUUACGAUUUACAAUAAAAGAUACAGAGGCUACAAGGUGGUAGAGUUGAGUUAUAUUAACAGAAAACCUUGGGAGAGAAAGGAACCACCUCUCACUAUCAUGUUCAAUGGCAAGAUUAAUAGAAGUGACCAUAUCUGAGCACAGUGUACUCCUCUUGCCGUAUUCAGAGUAUUUGCCUAUGGGCAGCAACAUUAUCCUCUCGUUCUCUGGAUAUUAGAAACAAUAUCACAGGACCGGCGGAUAGCCCCAGUCAUAUCUGACCCUAUCAGAGCAUGCUGUACACCUCUUGCCAUAUUCAGAGUACUUCCCUAUAAGCCGCAACAUUUUCCUCUCCUCCUCUGGAUGUUAGGAACAAUAUCCCAGGACCGGCCUACAACCCCAGUCACAUCUGACCCUAUCAGAGCAUGCUGUACACCUCUUGCCAUAUUCAGAGUACUUCCCCAUAAGCCGCAACAUUUUCCUCUCCUCCUCUGGAUGUUAGGAACAAUAUCCCAGGUCCGGCCUACAACACCAGUCACAUCUGACCCUAUCAGAGCAUGCUGUACACCUCUUGCCAUAUUCAGAGUACUUCCCCAUAAGCCACAUCAUUUUCCUCUCCUCCUCUGGAUGUUAGGAACAAUAUCCCAGGACCGGCCUACAACCCCAGUCACAUCGUGAGUAAUGUCCUCUAUAAUCUUCUAGUUAUUAGGAACAAUAUCACGGGGGGCUUGUGCACUCUCUCAGAUAUUUGGAGUAAUAUCUUUUAAGUUUUUGAAUAUUAGAAACGAUACUACAGUGGUGGUGUAUACUGCAUUCGAUAUUCAGAGUAUGGUAAUACAUUGUCUUUAGGACAUGAUUCACUACAUCACAGAAGCGUUUUACUUUGCCUGUGAUAUUGACACCGUCGCAGACGGUACACUUGCUCUCACAAGGAGAGUAAUACCUACUUAGGAUAUGAUGGCUGAUAUCACGAAAUGGACACACGUAUGUGUAUACCCACUUUGAUAUUGGAAGUAAUAUUUACCUAUUAUACUAAAACUCAUAUCUCAGAAUAUACUCAUGAUGUGUACACUUAUUGGUAUAUUACAAGCAACUAAGUGAAUAUGUACCACAUGUAAACUGACUGAUGGCAUAUGUGUACACAACACAGAUGUUGAAUAAAUUUACAUAAUCUAUAAAAUAUGGAUAAUUA
rnacentral:lncRNA from 13 species